CAUCAAUUAAUGGACAGUUGCGUUACAUGCCGAGGAGAGAGGAAAAACAGCGAUUAAGAAGAAAUCCGGCGAAUAAAUGAGACAAAAUUCCAGCUGUAUGUCAUGAAAGCUCACAGUUAAAAACGUCUAAAAAUAGGGGUUUAACUCAAAGAGGAAAAGAAAUGGAGCUCGUUCCUGCCAUCCUAUGAAACCUAAUCGUGGAAUCGGUGACGCUAGAAGUGCAGAUGGAUAUUUUAAUAGGUUUUUUUGGCUGUCGUCACGCCUUGAAAUGAGGGCAGUUUUUCCCGCGAGUGUUUUGGGUUGAAGCCUUGGAUUGGAUGAGGGAGGCUCGGGAAAGGUACCAGUGAAUACAGAUUCUAAGCACUGCUCAUUUGCUAUGAUCGUCGGAUCAGAUAUUUUGAAAAAGGACAAGCUUCACUCAAUUUUUCUCUAAGCAAGUCGUUGAGACAGAUUAAUGUGAAUUCUGAAAAAGAAAGAAUAGAAGAAGACUGUUUUGUACCAUCUAAAGGAAUACAACUACUUGCCAUGCUUAGAUCCAACCGAGCCCGCUGAAUGUGCUCUUUUCUUAUCCAAAUCCUACCAUAUGGAAGAAAUGUUCUAAAAAUGGCAGGAGAUGGAUCGGUAUCUUGUAUUGAAGAUGGCCCUAAAUUGGUGGAGAUGGUAGAAGAGAAGUCUGACAGAUUUAGAAACAAGGAACAAGAUAGGGAAAUUGUUGAGCAAAGGAGUUGGGAAGAUCUAUUGGGUAUUAGAGUGUUCAGUUUUCAGG